GCUCAGCCAUAAACUCAGAUAUUUAACAUACAAAAAUAUCCGCCAGAGAACUACGAGCAAAACGCUUAAAACUCUAAGGACUUGGCGGUACCUUAAACCCCCCUAGAGGAGCCUGUUCUAUAAUCGAUAAUCCACGAUCAACCUCACCAUCUCUUGCCAAUACCGCCUAUAUACCGCCGUCACCAGCCUACCCUAUGAAGGACAUAAAAGUAAGCAAAAUAGCAUAACAGCUAGCAAGCCAGGUCAAGGUGUAGCUUACUGAGAUGGAAGAAAUGGGCUACAUUUUCUAAAUUAGAAAUAUUUUACGGAAAGAACUAUGAAACAAGUUCUAUAAGCAGGAUUUAGCAGUAAAUAGGGAUCAGAAUGCCCAAUUUAAGCCGGUCCUAAGGUACGC
rnacentral:rRNA from 1 species